GGCUAGGAAAUAUUUGAUAAUAAGAUUGUAAUCGUUAUACUGAUCCUGACUAAAUGUCAGUCCACAAUCAACAAAUGGCUAUAAUAAGCAAAUAGAAUCAAUUGUUGAUUUUACCAAUCUUAAAAUAGAAGCAUUUACUUUUAGGACGAAAUCAAAAGCAAAUUAGUGGUGUUUUGAAAAGAUGAAAAGCAAGUUUUAUUUGUUCUCAAUUGUUUGAAUAAAGAGCAGCAUGUGCCACAAGGAUAAUCAUGCACUUUGUAAAAAUAUAACUAAAACAAAAGACGCGAGCGCGGGGUUUGAAGAAAUCCAGAUCCUAACCUUAACACUAAGCACUUGUUAUCGAUGAAUAAAAAAUAUAGAUUCGCUCAUUUUAAUAAUGUUUUUUGUACCAUUCUCUUUUUAUACUUGCUCAUAUACUUAGUACUUACUUUCGUAAAUGGAAGAUGUGUAUAGUUUGAACUCCCGACUGUUUCAGAUGCCUGCUAUAUCAAUACAGAAUGUACACCGCGAUUGUCGAUAAAACAGAUUUGACAUUAAAUUUAAGGGUGUUUUACACUACACCUGAUUUUAAGUUUUUGGCAAAAAAUCCUCAAAAUUUCAGUCAAUGUGUCAAUUAUGAUGAUGAUUCAGUAAUGUAUAUCUAUUAUUGCAAAAUGAAAAAUCUGAUAAUAGCAGAGUUAUGAGUAUUGAACAAUCUCCUUUGAAAGAGGUAAAAAGAAUGAAGGUCAGUAUACCCGUUAGUUCAUGAUCAGAAUCCGAAAGAAGAAUGCAACUGACAAAAAAGACAAUCAUGCAAGAAAGAUUGUUGGAAUUAUCAUGUAAUUCUAUGAGAGAUGAAAAACUUAAAAAGUCAUCGGUAAAAGAGCCAGGAGUCAACAAAUGUUUUAAAAAUUAUCCAAGACAACAACAUAAUAAAAACUCUAUUCAACUCUACAACACUGUCUACUGCACAAAAAUAAACUAAAACUAAAAAUGUGGCAAGUACACUGGCACAUACUGCUUUACGUCAAGAAAAAAAGGCAUUAAACUUUCACAAUAAGACUCAGAUGGCCAAUCUGGUUUUUCAAAAGGUUCUGAUGAUUCCUUUAUUUCUAAAUUAUGGUAUUUUGGUCUACCAGUUGGUUCCAUAAAAACAGUGGAAAAUUUUGUAUAAUCUGGAGUUUUACUAAAAUGAUCUAAAUUUUCUGCAAACUAAACAAAAAUAAAAUUUUUCUAAAAAUUA